UUGGGAGCGCUCCCAUAUGGUCGACCUGCAGGCGGCCGCGAAUUCACUAGUGAUUCGUAUUACCGCGGGUGCUGGCACGGAGUUAGCCGGUGCUUAUUCAUAUAGUACCGUCAACUUACCUCGCAAGGUCUAUUUCUUCCUAUAUAAAAGCAGUUUACAACGCAUAACGCCUUCAUCCUGCACGCGGCAUGGCUGGGUCAGAGUUGCCUCCAUUGCCCAAUAUUCCCUACUGCUGCCUCCCGUAGGAGUCUGGCCCGUAUCUCAGUGCCAGUGUGGGGGAUUAACCUCUCAGUUCCCCUACCAAUCAUCGGCUUGGUGAGCCGUUACCUCGCCAACUAACUAAUUGGACGCAUGACCAGCUUAUAGCGAUAAAUCUUUAAUAUGUUAACGAUGCCAUCAACAUAUACCAUCGGGUAUUAAUCUCCGUUUCCAAAGGCUAUCCCCGUCUAUAAGGUAGGUUUCAUACGUGUUACGCACCCGCGCGCCACUAUUGUAUCACUACAACCGUUCGACUUGCAUGUAUUA
rnacentral:rRNA from 1 species